AAAUAAGAAGCAAUUAUUGCAUUUAAUUUCGACUUAAAAGGUAGAGUUAUUUAUAACUCCUUAUUUG
rnacentral:tRNA from 1 species